AUGGCCGCGGGAUUUUCCGGUUGAUCCUGCCGGACCCGACUGCUAUCAGAGUGGGACUAAGCCAUGCGAGUCAACAUAGCAAUAUGUGGCAUACGGCUCAGUAACACGUAGUCAACAUGCCCAGGGGACGUGGAUAACCUCGGGAAACUGAGGAUAAACCGCGAUAGGUCAUCACUUCUGGAAUGGGUAAUGACUUAAAUCUAUAUGGCCCCUGGAUUGGACUGCGGCCGAUCAGGCUGUUGGUGAGGUAAUGGCCCACCAAACCUGUAACCGGUACGGGCUCUGAGAGGAGGAGCCCGGAGAUGGGCACUGAGACAAGGGCCCAGGCCCUAUGGGGCGCAGAGGGCGCGAAACCUCUGCAAUAGGCGAAAGCUUGACAGGGUUACUCUGAGUGAUUUCCGUUAAGGAGAUCUUUUGGCACCUCUAAAAAUGGUGCAGAAUAAGGGGUGGGCAAGUCUGGUGUCAGCCGCCGCGGUAAUACCAGCACCCCGAGUGGUCGGGACGUUUAUUGGGCCUAAAGCAUCCGUAGCCGGUUCUACAAGUCUUCCGUUAAAUCCACCUGCUUAACAGAUGGGCUGCGGAAGAUACUAUAGAGCUAGGAGGCGGGAGAGGCAAGCGGUACUCGAUGGGUAGGGGUAAAAUCCGUUGAUCCMUUGAAGACCACCAGUGGCGAAGGCGGCUUKCCAGAACGSGCUYGACGGUGAGGGAUGAAAGCUGGGGGAGCAAACCSGAUUAGAUACCCGGGUAGUCCCAGCUUGUAAACGRUGSAGACUUGGUGAUGAGUUGGCUUAUUGCUAACUYAGUGGCCSAGGGAAGCCUUAAGUUUGCCGCYGGGGAGUACGGUCGAAGA
rnacentral:rRNA from 1 species